rnacentral:rRNA from 1 species
CUAAGGCUAAAUACUCUCUAGUGACCGAUAGUGAACCAGUACCGUGAGGGAAAGGUGAAAAGCACCCCGGAAGGGGAGUGAAAUAGAACCUGAAACCGUGUGCUUACAAGUAGUCAGAGCCCGUUAAUGGGUGAUGGCGUGCCUUUUGUAGAAUGAACCGGCGAGUUACGAUUUGAUGCAAGGUUAAGCAGUAAAUGUGGAGCCGUAGCGAAAGCGAGUCUGAAUAGGGCGUUUAGUAUUUGGUCGUAGACCCGAAACCAGGUGAUCUACCCUUGGUCAGGUUGAAGUUCAGGUAACACUGAAUGGAGGACCGAACCGACUUACGUUGAAAAGUGAGCGGAUGAACUGAGGGUAGCGGAGAAAUUCCAAUCGAACCUGGAGAUAGCUGGUUCUCUCCGAAAUAGCUUUAGGGCUAGCCUCAAGUGAUGAUUAUUGGAGGUAGAGCACUGUUUGGACGAGGGGCCCCUCUCGGGUUACCGAAUUCAGACAAACUCCGAAUGCCAAUUAAUUUAACUUGGGAGUCAGAACAUGGGUGAUAAGGUCCGUGUUCGAAAGGGAAACAGCCCAGACCACCAGCUAAGGUCCCAAAAUAUAUGUUAAGUGGAAAAGGAUGUGGCGUUGCCCAGACAACUAGGAUGUUGGCUUAGAAGCAGCCAUCAUUUAAAGAGUGCGUAAUAGCUCACUAGUCGAGUGACACUGCGCCGAAAAUGUACCGGGGCUAAACAUAUUACCGAAGCUGUGGAUUGUCCUUUGGACAAUGGUAGGAGAGCGUUCUAAGGGCGUUGAAGCAUGAUCGUAAGGACAUGUGGAGCGCUUAGAAGUGAGAAUGCCGGUGUGAGUAGCGAAAGACGGGUGAGAAUCCCGUCCACCGAUUGACUAAGGUUUCCAGAGGAAGGCUCGUCCGCUCUGGGUUAGUCGGGUCCUAAGCUGAGGCCGACAGGCGUAGGCGAUGGAUAACAGGUUGAUAUUCCUGUACCACCUAUAAUCGUUUUAAUCG